rnacentral:rRNA from 1 species
GCUCCAGGACGCUGAGAGAUGUGGUUUCCUUGUGGUUUCUAUACAGGUGGUGCAUGGUUGUCGUCAGCUCGUGUCGUGAGAUGUUGGGUUAAGUCCCGCAACGAGCGCAACCCUUGUCUUAUGUUGCCAGCACGUUAUGGUGGGGACUCGUGAGAGACUGCCGGGGUCAACUCGGAGGAAGGUGGGGAUGACGUCAAAUCAUCAUGCCCCUUAUGUCCAGGGCUUCACACAUGCUACAAUGGCCGGUACAGAGGGCUGCGAUGCCGUGAGGUGGAGCGAAUCCCUUAAAGCUGGUCUCAGUUCGGAUUGGGGUCUGCAACUCGACCCCAUGAAGUCGGAGUCGCUAGUAAUCGCAGAUCAGCAACGCUGCGGUGAAUACGUUCCCGGGCCUUGUAACACACCGA